CUGCGGAGGGAUCAUUACCGAGUUAUACAACUCAUCAACCCUGUGAACAUACCUAAAACGUUGCUUCGGCGGGAACAGACGGCCCCGUAACACGGGCCGCCCCCGCCAGAGGACCCCCUAACUCUGUUUCUAUUAUGUUUCUUCUGAGUAAAACAAGCAAAUAAAUUAAAACUUUCAACAACGGAUCUCUUGGCUCUGGCAUCGAUGAAGAACGCAGCGAAAUGCGAUAAGUAAUGUGAAUUGCAGAAUUCAGUGAAUCAUCGAAUCUUUGAACGCACAUUGCGCCCGCCAGUAUUCUGGCGGGCAUGCCUGUUCGAGCGUCAUUACAACCCUCAGGCCCCCGGGCCCGGCGUUGGGGAUCGGCGAGGCGCCCCCUGCGGGCACACGCCGUCCCCCAAAUACAGUGGCGGUCCCGCCGCAGCUUCCAUUGCGUAGUAGCUAACACCUCGCAACUGGAGAGCGGCGCGGCCACGCCGUAAAACACCCAACUUCUGAAUGUUGACCUCGAAUCAGGUAGGAAUACCCGCUGAACUUAAGCAUAUA
rnacentral:misc_RNA from 1 species